rnacentral:lncRNA from 1 species
CUUCCAUUUACUACCCUCCUUUAAAAGAAGUGAUCAGACAGUAAUGAGAAGGACAAAAGGUGAAGAAUUCUUCCAUUUACUACCCUCCUUUAAAAGAAGUGAUCAGACAGCGCUGAGAAGGACAAAAGGGACCAUUUUAAAGUUGGACAAGGGAAAAACAAUUCUUACCAGUUUUGUCCAGAUCCUAAUUGUUAGAACAAAGUUAAAACUUCAGUCUUAAAAAGAAAAUCCUUGGAAGUUUUAAUUGAACAUUUUACACACUUAAAGUCUUGCAAUGGUGCUUUAUGUAUCAAUGUAGCAUAUGAAAGGCUUUGUGCAGAGAAGUAAACAUUUCCUUUUUUAAGUGUUAAAAUGUGAUAACACCAUCUCCUCAUCUUUAACUUGAAAUCAAAACUACCAG